CAUGGCAAGUCGAGGGGCAUCAAAAAAAAUAUAAGAUAAGUUUACUUAACUUAUGUUUUUUGUUUGGCAACCGGCGUACGGGUGAGUAAUACAUACGUAACUUUCCUUAUGCUGAAGGAUAGCCCGAGGAAACUUGGAUUAAUACUUCAUAAUACCAUUUUUUAUUAAGAAAUUUGGUUAAAGUUAUUAUGGCAUAAGAUAGGCGUUUGUCCGAUUAGUUAGUUGGGAAGGUAAUGGCUUACCAAGACAAUGAUCGGUAGGGGGCCUGAGAGGGCGUCCCCCCACAUUGGUACUGAGACACGGACCAAACUUCUACGGAAGGCAGCAGUGAGGAAUAUUGGUCAAUGGAGGCAACUCUGAACCAGCCACUCCGCGUGUAGGAAGAAGGCAAUUUAGGUUGUAAACUACUUUUGUAGAUGAAUAAAAAAUUCUAUUUUUAGAAAAAUUGAAGGUAAUAUACGAAUAAGUAUCGGCCAACUCUGUGCCAGCAGCCGCGGUAAAACAGAGGAUACAAGCGUUAUCCGGAUUUAUUGGGUUUAAAGGGUGCGGUAGGGUUGUUUUUUAAGUCAGUAGUGAAAUCUUAAAGCUUAACUUUAAAAGUGCUAUUGAGACUGAUAAACUAGAGUGAGGUUGGAGUAACUGGAAUGUGUGGUGGAGCGGUGAAAUGCAUAGAGAUCACACAGAACACCGAUAGCGCAAGCAGGUUACUAAACCUAGACUGACACUGAGGCACGAAAGCAUGGGUAGCAAACAGGAUUAGAUACCCUGGUAGUCCAUGCCGUAAACGAUGAUCACUAACUAUUGGAGAAUAAUUCAGUGGUCAAGCGAAAGUGAUAAGUGAUCCACCUGAGGAGUACGACCGCAAGGUUGAAACUCAAAGGAAUUGACGGGGGUCCGCACAAUCGGUGGAGCAUGUGGUUUAAUUCGAUGAUACGCGAGGAACCUUACCAAAACUUAAAUGUAUUACGAAUAAAUUGGAAACAAUUUAGUCAUUAGACGGAGUACAAGGUGCUGCAUGGUUGUCGUCAGCUCGUGCCGUGAGGUGUGAGGUUAAGUCUUUGAACGAGCGCAACCCUUAUUAUUAGUUACCAUCAAGUAAUGUUGGGGACUCUAAUAAGACUGCCGGCGUAAGCCGAGAGGAAGGCGGGGACGACGUCAAAUCAUCACGGCCCUUAUGUUUUGGGCCACACACGUGUUACAAUGGUCGGUACAAAAGGCAGCAACUGGGUGACCAGAAGCAAAUCUUUAAAGCCGAUCUAAGUUCGGAUUGGAGUCUGCAACUCGACUCUAUGAAGCUGGAAUCGCUAGUAAUCGUGCAUCAGCCAUGGCGCGGUGAAUAUGUACCCGGGCCUUGUACACACCGCCCGUCAAGCCAUGGAAGUUGGAAGUACCUAAAAUCGGUGACCUUUAUAGAAGGAAAA
rnacentral:rRNA from 1 species